UUGAAACGAUUCAAUUUGUGUUUUGUUCAUCGUUCUCGUUCCAACUCAAUCAAAAUUUCUCAACUGAAAUUUGUUCGAAAUCGCAUGUUGUAAAGAUGAAUUUGAGGUAAAUGUGAAGCGAUUCAAUUUGUGUUUUGUUAUCUAAUGUUUUUGAUUGAUGGAAUGUAAAUGUGAAGGAUUCAAUUUGAGUGUUUGCUAAUUAUUUUAGGGUUUAAGUUUGGGGAUUCAAUUUCUUAUACUGAUUUUAGGAUUGCUGGAAGUGACUUUAGGGGAUUAAGUUGCUUGAUGCUUGAAGAGCUUGACCUUACUGAUUGCUCUGGCAUGAAGGACAUAGGUAAACCAGAAUUUUGCUAGAAGCCUAACACGACUCCAAUCUCUUUACAACUUCAAUAAGAGAGCUUGUAGCAACUCAUAGCCUCAAAUAUCUUUCAAGAUGCUUAGAACUUGUAAGAUUGAAGUUAGGAUUAUGCAUAAACAUAUCAAACAUAUAUAGAAUUGGCACACAUUGCCUGCAACUGCACAAAGUUGACCGAACUUCACCUCUAUCGGUAAUUGAACUUUCGUCAAUGUGGCUGCAUGCCUAGAUUGAUUUUGUUUCUUUUUGCAGACGGAUCUAAGAUUCCAGUUAAUAUAGAUUGAUUUUGCUUAUAUUGAUAUCAGCUACAUGCCUAGAUUGAUUUUUUUUUUUAUCCUUUCUUUCUAAUACUGAUAUUAGUUCCUGAAAAUCACCAAAGAAAAAAGAAUAUAAGACAACUCUAGUUAGCACUCCAACUGUGGUUGUAAGCUCUGAUGAGGCUUGUAAUGACUUGGUUUCUACUUUUAUUUUUUGUUCCACUAAGUUUACUUUAAAUGUGUUUACUUUGUUUGUUGUUUGCAUCAGGAAUUUAGACGUACCAAGGGAAACAUAAACUCAAUGAGGGAACAGGCAGAGCUUUUAGGUUCUUUUAAGGAUGAUAUUACUAUGAGUAUUCCAGCAAUGAUGGAAGUUGUAUAUUCCUUUCUACAACCCUUUACUCUUCCAAGAUACAUCAAGCCAUAAUAAUGGGUCCUGUAGAAACUAUUAUUCGUAGUUUGCUCGGUAUGUUGGAAGUAAAAUUUAUCUUUCUAAUAUGCCAAGUUUCUAUUAUAGUUCUUAUAUGCAUUAACGAAAUCUAUAUCAUCCAAAAACUGUUGUAUAUUAUAGUUUAUUUCCAUGUUUCUGCACUUGUUCUGACUUAGCAAUGGUUAACAACUGUAAUAGUGAUGCCAUUUCCAACCUUUCUCAAAACAUAAUGUUGUCAUCGAUCAGGCACCGGUGGACAGGCUGAUGUGAAAGCUCAUUUGUGGGAUAAGAAUUGUUAGAAUGACUCUCAGAACAAGAAAGGAAGACAAGGAUUAUCAACAAAGAAAACUGUCAGAUCGAUUCAAGAUGCUAAGGAUGGUAUCCUUGAUCUAAAUAAAACUGCUGAGGUCUUAGAGACUGCAAUUCCCAUUCUAAUAGGAAUCAAGUUUGAUGCUUUUGUUAGACUUCACCAAGAUUUGCAAUGGACAAUUGUAACACAGUUUGGGUUUUGGUCCCUUGUAUUAAAGAACUAAUUUAUGGUCCCUUGUUGUCUUUUGAAGUGAUCAUCUUGAACGUCUUGUAUUUAAGGUUAACCACUGAUGUUAUAGCACCAUCCCCAUGGAAGAUUCACGUGGAAGGGUAAGUUACUCCUAAUUUAGUACGUACUAGGAUCAUAUUGUUUUAAAGCCAAAUGUUAUUCCGACCUUGAUCUCAUUUUAAUAUAGAUGGGAGAGGGCCAAUAAAUCCUAAGGGAUUGUAAUAUUACAAUAAUCUCAUCAAUGAACUAACAAGCCGAGGUUCUUUUGCAAACUAGUUUUACCUUAAAAAGUUCAAUUGGAGUUGUCAGCUGCAGAUUGAGAUCUACCACAAGCACUUGAAGACGAAUAUGGAGGAUGAGUUAGUCGAAGAAUUAUGUAUGGUUUGUAAACUAUAAGAUAUAGUUUGUUUUAUUUUAUCUUGUCUUAGAUAGGAGAUCAAAUUAAACAAACUAUAUCUAACACAUUAGAAAAAAAUGUAGUUACUGUAUUUUGUAAAUUGUGAGUAAUUUAUUUUCCCUAAAGUGUAUUUUUACUCUAUAUUUGUGAGUAAUUUGUUUUGAGAAUUUGGAUGUAA